GGGCGAGUGGCGAAACGGUAGACGCGUCGGCCUUAGGAGCCGGUGCCGCUCUGCGGCGUGUCGGUUCGAAUCCGACCUCGCCCACCA
rnacentral:tRNA from 1 species